rnacentral:lncRNA from 12 species
CGUGUGCCAUACUGUUUGUGCUACAGAUAUGAAUGACACCUGAAAUUGAGGAGAGGUGUAGGGUUGUGCCGAUAGAUGAUAGUAUUGUGUAUCGACGAUAGCAGAUGUCUCUGUCGAUAGUCAAGACGAUAUUAGGCUCAUUCUCCUAUUAAUGUAUUAAAUAAUAAUAAUAAUUAUUAUUAUUAAUUUUAUUAGGGGGCCUAUUAUAAAUUCGGCUAUCAAACUGCCCAGCUAUUUCACUUCAGCACCGCAUUUCACACACAUUUCUUGUUUGCAAAAAGACGUAAAUACACAAUUUUCAAGUUCAAGCACACUAAUUUUAACCUUCUCUCCUGUCUGGUUUGUUUGUCGGACAAAAAUGGCAAAAUCAGCUUCUGUCAAUCAAACUAUCGUGGGAGGGGCCUGUUUUUGUGAUAUCACACAGACAGGCAACUGAGAUCGGUUCGAUUUGAGAAAGGGGUAAAGAUUUGAGCAGUUCCAAAAAACAGUUGCCAACACACAUUUCAGUUCAAACAAAAGCAUCUUAUGAACCCUUUAAUAAAUCUAAUACAAACAUUUGAUUUCUUUCCCAGCUGUUUACCUGCACAUACAUAACCCACUCUGGUUUUGCACAAUAAGGUGCAAAAGAGAACUUGGUUUAGUGCUCACAUGCCGUUUGACAGCCACUUUCCGUCUGCGUGCUUCAGAUGUGUUUGCCCAGAAAACCAUAUAUCAGAAUUUUAAACUGAUAUGGCUUUAAAAAGCAUUAUUUCAGCACAAUAAACAUGAUAAUCAAAACCAAACAGAUGUUUUUUUAGCAAAGUAUCUGAGGAACGAACUGUAAAGGCACAGCCCUAUUCUAGAAAAGGGUGAGGGCAGCAGCAUCUCAUUUGCAUUUAAAGAGACAUGCUUCAACUCAAAAUAUGCAUUUUCAAAAUGUUAUAAUAAACUAUCUGUGGGGUAUUUUGAGCUGAAACGUCACAGACNUACAUAACCCACUCUGGUUUUGCACAAUAAGGUGCAAAAGAGAACUUGGUUUAGUGCUCACAUGCCGUUUGACAGCCACUUUCCGUCUGCGUGCUUCAGAUGUGUUUGCCCAGAAAACCAUAUAUCAGAAUUUUAAACUGAUAUGGCUUUAAAAAGCAUGAUUUCAGCACGAUAAACAUGAUAAUCAAAACCAAACAGAUGUUUUUUUUUUAGCAGAGUAUCCGAGGAACGAAAUGUAAAGGCAGAGCCCUAUUCUAGAAAAGGGUGAGGGCAGCAGCAUCUUAUUUGCAUUUAAAGAGACAUGCUUCCACUCAAAAUAUGCAUUUUCAAAAUGUUAUAAUAAACUAUCUGUGGGGUAUUUUGAGCUGAAACGUCAUAGACACAUUCUGGGGACACCUUAAAAAGGAGGCAUAAUAGGUGUACUUUAAUGCAAUUACAGCAGAAGUAACUGCAAAUAAAUUACAGAAAAAUUAAGAGAAAUCCCAUUUUUCAAGGGAAAUGUAAUUCAAUUA